rnacentral:rRNA from 1 species
UACGAAGGGGGCGAGCGUUGUUCGGAUUUACUGGGCGUAAAGGGCGCGCAGGCGGCUCGUUUUGUCAGGCGUGAAAGCCCCGGGCUUAACCUGGGAACUGCGCUUGAGACGGAUGGGCUAGAGUUCGGGAGAGGAGCGUGGAAUUCCCAGUGUAGAGGUGAAAUUCGUAGAUAUUGGGAAGAACACCGGUGGCGAAGGCGGCGCUCUGGACCGAGACUGACGCUGAGGCGCGAAAGCGUGGGGAGCAAACAGG